GAAAGCGUCGCGCGCUAACAGCGCAACAGUGACGUGACGUACUGAUGACGCAGUAAGAAAAAUAAAAAUUAAAUGACGAACUAGCUAUAACUCAAACGACGGAAAUAGACCACAUAGACUGCAUCUAGAGUUGAAGGCGAAAUGGAGUGGUUCCAUUGUAACCAGUGUAAAGUCAAGUCACGAACCAAGUUUGCGGUCUCCAGUUGUGGACACAUCUGCUGCGAGGCCUGCAUCAAUCCUAAACAAUGCACUGUCUGUGGAGCCAACUGCAGCUAUUUGGCCAUCACAGAUAAGAUGAGGCCAGAAGAAAAGCUGUAUUUCAAGGAUCCUGCGAAGCUCUUCCGGUCACGACUGGAAAACAUUGCGCAGAUUGUCCAUUUCCAGCAGAAGCAGCAGGAAAGGUUGAUAGGCCACCUCAAAGAAAAAUGUGGACAGCUGGAACAAAGACUUAAGGACAUCGCUGAUCAGGGCUACAGGUCAUUGAUAUGGUGUUUGAGUUUCAUUUUAAAACUGAUCCCACUGUAUGUUAUGAUCAGGCAACUUAAGGAACUGAGGAGAGAGAACGAUGAUCUAAAAAAACAGCUGUCAGAGCUGAGGAGGGAGACCGCAGAGCUCAAGAAGCCUCUUUCACUCAGGAGGGUUUCCCCGGGACACUUUCAUUCAACUGGCAGUCAGAAAAUAACCCUGCCUGUUGCUGUCACUUCCCCAGUAACCCCUCAUCUAAGAAAUGGUCAUGUUUCUGGUGCUGAAGUGUCGCAGGAGUGGUAUAGAGAAAGAAGUCUCAUCGCUACUCCUGGAUCAGCCUCAUCACACUCCAGUCGCAGCUCUUUUCAUGAACAAGGGCCUGUUCUGGAAGGAACACCGACCUCCUUCAUCGCCCCUGCAAGAGUGCAGCGUCACACUCCAAAUCCUUUCCACCUUCAGUUUCAAGCAUUAUAGCUCACACUGCAGGAAAAAACUGACAUGGCAGUGAUGCCAAAGGAAACUUCAGGUGUCCUCUCCAAAGCCAAACAUCGAUAAGAUUCUACAAUGGUGUGCAACAACACGCUCCAGUGAGUUGCUUUGCAAGCCCCAUCCCGAGUCAGGUUACCUUGUGCCAGGUGGACGAUGCACCGCCCACUCAGCUCUGUUGUUUCUCCGUUGGCGAAGAUUUCUUUGCCCUGAAGAAGAAAAUCCCAGUAUUGACAUCAGGUCGUCGCAUCCUUUCAAAUCAUUUUAAAAACUUGUUUUUCACUAAUCAAUUUCACUGACAAAAACAUACUUUUUAAUGUUAGAUUCCUAUUGUACAGACAAAUCAUUUCACUAAAAUUGCACAGCAAAAAAGGGCAAACUAAAAUUAUAAAAAUAUUAUAUAUAUUUGCUUUAGAACCCCCGAACAACCUUGUUUUUGUUUUGUAUGAAUUCCUAAUCAUUCAGGUAUUUUUAAUCUUAAAAUUAGGAAAACCAAGUUGCUGUUGUGUAUAAGAAAGAGGAAGGUAGAAUAUAAAUAUAUUCUCCCUCGAGAAUCUAUUUGUGCAUAAUUUCUGUGACUUUUUGCAGUGCCGCUGUUAAUGGACAUUUUUCCUUCCCUUUCCACAUUACAGUUGAACAGCUCUCAAUUGACUGUUGUGUCGGUUAAUGAAAGUUUAAUGGGGUCAUGAGGAACCGGAUCCCAGGCUCAAUAGAGACUCACCGUCUUGUUGAUGCCCUCCAUGUUGGCCACACUUUUGUCACUCUGCAUCAGCUGAGUGACCAGCUCGGUCUGCACGGCUCCCGGCCACAGACUGACCGACACCACUCCUCUCCUCUUCAGCUCCACUGCCAUGUCUGCAGCCAAGCGGUCACACUGGAGGAGCAGUCCAAAGGAACUGAUUAUUCAACUCAUAUUCACCGGAUGAAGAAGAGGUGAGCGUCUUCCAACGGUCGGAGUCGACGGUCCGCGCUGCUGCAGCCUGCCAGGCUAAACGACGCUCACUGCGACGGCAGAGGCGUCACGUACACGAUCUGCGCCUGACUAACACGCAUGCGCAGGACUCGAACCACUGGCUCCACAGCCGAAGCUGACAUUCAAAUAUGUUUGGCAGUCUGUCUUUCACCUGGAGAGGAUACAGAAGUCAAGACCACAUCACAGGAAACUCUUGCUUAGUACAAGCAACGGUGACGUAAAACAUCAGGUGUUAGUUAUGACCUAAAGAGAGCAUCAGUGUACAUCGAAAGUCAGUUAUGCAGGCCUUUGAAGGACAUGCUUUCCUGAGGGGUGAACAACAAUACAGCAGUACCUCGGUUUUCGAACGUCCCAGACUUCGAACAAAUCGGAGUUCAAACAAAAAUUUUGACAUUUUUUUGCUUCGGAUUUCAAACAAGAAUGCACGGACCAAUCCACUGACCCACGACGCGCUUUGUUAUUGUGUAUAGCGCAGCCUCUGUAAGCAGACGUGUCCCGUUAGCUACAUUUACUGACUGUUUUUUCUUCAUAUUGAGGUGUAAAACCUUUCCUGUCUCCGCACUGGACCGUGGUAGAGUGUCACAGUGGAGGAGCUCGCUCUCCACACCUCCGAGGCUGGAGCGCUCACUCCAGGGUUUGAUGUCCUGUUGUGGGCUGGAGCUGGGACAGGGAUGAGGCGAGUCUGGGACAGAGUGUGACUUGGUUUAUGACUUUGUCACAGCCAAACUGCACAGAAGCGCACAUUCAGAGCU